rnacentral:rRNA from 1 species
GAUGAACGCUAGCGGCAGGCCUAACACAUGCAAGUCGAGGGGUAGAACACUUCGGUGUUUGAGACCGGCGCACGGGUGCGUAACGCGUAUGCAAUCUACCUUGUACAGGGGAAUAGCCCAGAGAAAUUUGGAUGAAUGCCCCAUAGUAUAUAACCUUCGCAUGUUGGUUAUAUUAAAGUUCCAACGGUACAAGAUGAGCAUGCGUCCCAUUAGUUAGUUGGUAAGGUAACGGCUUACCAAGACGAUGAUGGGUAGGGGCCCUGAGAGGGAGAGCCCCAACACUGGUACUGAGACACGGACCAGACUCCUACCGGAGGCAGCAGUGAGGGAUAUUGGUCAAUGGGCGCAAGCCUGAACCAGCCAUGCCGCGUGCAGGAAGACGGUCCUAUGGAUUGUAAACUGCUUUUAUACAGGAAGAAACCCUCCCACGUGUGGGAGAUUGACGGUACUGUAGGAAUAAGGAUCGGCUAACUCCGUGCCAGCCGCCGCCGUAAAAC